rnacentral:rRNA from 1 species
AUUGAACGCUGGCGGCAUGCUUUACACAUGCAAGUCGAACGGUAACAGGGUGCUUGCCCCGCUGACGAGUGGCGAACGGGUGAGUAAUGCAUCGGAAUGUACCGUGUAAUGGGGGAUAGCUCGGCGAAAGCCGGAUUAAUACCGCAUACGCCCUGAGGGGGAAAGUGGGGGACCGAAAGGCCUCACGUUAUACGAGCAGCCGAUGUCUGAUUAGCUAGUUGGUGAGGUAAAGGCUCACCAAGGCGUCGAUCAGUAGCGGGUCUGAGAGGAUGAUCCGCCACACUGGGACUGAGACACGGCCCAGACUCCUACGGGAGGCAGCAGUGGGGAAUUUUGGACAAUGGGCGCAAGCCUGAUCCAGCCAUGCCGCGUGUCUGAAGAAGGCCUUCGGGUUGUAAAGGACUUUUGUCCGGGAGCAAAUCCUAGUGGUUAAUAACCGCUGGGUCUGAGAGUACCGGAAGAAUAAGCACCGGCUAACUACGUG